AGCUUUGUGCAGUGGCAGUAUUGUAGCCAAUGAGGUUUAUCCGAGGUGCAAUUAUUGCUAAUUGAAAACCUAUUUGAUCACAUGAAUAAUAAAAUGAUUUGAGUUUCUGUCAAUAAUCCACCAAAGUAAUAUUA